GGCGGCAGGCUUAACACAUGCAAGUCGAGCGGCGUAGCAAUACGUCAGCGGCAGACGGGUGAGUAACGCGUGGGAACGUACCUUUUGGUUCGGAACAACACAGGGAAACUUGUGCUAAUACCGGAUAAGCCCUUACGGGGAAAGAUUUAUCGCCGAAAGAUCGGCCCGCGUCUGAUUAGCUAGUUGGUAGGGUAAUGGCCUACCAAGGCGACGAUCAGUAGCUGGUCUGAGAGGAUGAUCAGCCACAUUGGGACUGAGACACGGCCCAAACUCCUACGGGAGGCAGCAGUGGGAAUAUUGGACAAUGGGGCAACCCUGAUCCAGCCAUGCCGCGUGAGUGAUGAAGGCCCUAGGGUUGUAAAGCUCUUUUGUGCGGGAAGAUAAUGACGGUACCGCAAGAAUAAGCCCCGGCUAACUUCGUG
rnacentral:rRNA from 1 species